rnacentral:rRNA from 1 species
CAGCCGCCGCGGUAAUACGUAGGGUGCAAGCGUUAAUCGGAAUUACUGGGCGUAAAGCGUGCGCAGGCGGUUCGGAAAGAAAGAUGUGAAAUCCCAGAGCUUAACUUUGGAACUGCAUUUUUAACUACCGGGCUAGAGUGUGUCAGAGGGAGGUGGAAUUCCGCGUGUAGCAGUGAAAUGCGUAGAUAUGCGGAGGAACACCGAUGGCGAAGGCAGCCUCCUGGGAUAACACUGACGCUCAUGCACGAAAGCGUGGGGAGCAAACAGGAUUAGAUACCCUGGUAGUCCACGCCCUAAACGAUGUCAACUAGCUGUUGGGGCCUUCGGGCCUUGGUAGCGCAGCUAACGCGUGAAGUUGACCGCCUGGGGAGUACGGUCGCAAGAUUAAAACUUAAAGGAAUUUGGCGGG